rnacentral:rRNA from 1 species
UACGAAGGGGGCUAGCGUUGUUCGGAAUUACUGGGCGUAAAGCGCGUGUAGGCGGCCCACCAAGUCGGACGUGAAAGCCCUGAGCUCAACUCAGGAACUGCAUCCGAAACUGGCGGUCUGGAGUAGUGGAGAGGAAAGCAGAAUUCCUGGUGUAGAGGUGAAAUUCGUAGAUAUCAGGAAGAACACCCGUGGCGAAAGCGGCUCUCUGGGACGGUACUGACGCUGAGACGCGAAAGCGUGGGGAGCGAACAGG